rnacentral:lncRNA from 1 species
AUAUCCCUUGGAAAGUGAAUCUACUGGAAAGUGCUGGAACUCCAGCCUGACCUCAAGUUGGAUGGACUGUGACCUGUGGAAAAAUGCAUGUGGAAGCACACACACUACAAAGUAUCUGUGGCCAUAGAUAAGUCCAUACUGUAGUAAGUACACCUCAAAGCAUCUGUAGCCAUGGAGAAGUCUGUGCAGCAGCAGGUACACCUUGCAGUGGUCAUAUCUGGGGAUAAGGCCAUGCCAGAAUACCUCAAAGCAUCUGGGGCUGUGGAGAAGACCAAUACACAGCAGGUGUCUGAAUGGACCUUUGAAGAGACUGUGGCUAACGGAGAAGGCUGCUCCAAAGCAGGAACUGAGGAGUUGCAGACUGGGAGCACAGUGACCGAUGCAGCUCUGUCCCAUGAAGUCCCAGCGUAUAAUGUUAUUUCAGAAGAAAUUACAUUUCUUGUCUCCAUAAUCCUUCUGAAACACUGUUCCCAAGUGCCACAGCAUGGAAAUUUUGGCAUUUUGUUCUGAUUUUCAAAUACAUUGUUUUUAUGUGCUCUUUUGCCACAGCUGUAUAUCUCAGGUAGCUCUCUCUUUAUGUGCACUCCUACACAUCCUUCUUUCUAACCACAUUUAUCAUUAGUAAUCACAUCCCUUCUUAGCCUUUGUUUUACUAAAGUAAUCAAGUCAUACUCUUCUCAUUUACUCAUGCAACAUAGGCUCUUCAUUCACUUGAUUACCCGAGGAAUUUACUUCUGCAUUUCAAUUAGUAUUUAUUAAAAAUAUUGAAAAGAAUUUGCACACAUUUUCCAGAAAGUCCCUGAACUAAGAUUUCACACUGAUAUUAAUAGGUAAAUACUUUCCAGGUAAAUACCUUGCAUUUGCAUUUCUCUUUGCUAUAUCACAUUUGUUACCAUGUAGUCCUGUAAUACACUAUUGCCAUUGCUAAGCUUUGUGCUGAUUUUGCAAGGCUUGGAUGGAAGCUUAUCAGUUUUACCCUGUGUGAACUUUUCUUGACCUAUCUGUUUGUUUUAACUUGGUUUACCUAUUAAAAGUGUUUGUUUGUUUGUUUUGUUUUGUUUUGUUUUGGAUGGGUGGCUAUUUAUUUGUUUUACUCCCCUUAUUGUUGUAUGAUAAUUCCACUGUUUUACACACCUGUACACAACUUUCUUACACAUGUAAGAAACUCACCUGUGAUUAGUUAAAGAAAUGCAGGCAUGAAGCUGGAAAAAAUGGUUUUAGGAGUAACAAAGAGAACACA